GCCGGGUUAGCUCAGUUGGCAGAGCACUUGAUUUGUAAUCAUGAGGUCGUGGGUUCGAUUCCCACACCCGGCU
rnacentral:tRNA from 1 species